AGAGUUUGAUCAUGGCUCAGAUUGAACGCUGGCGGAAUGCUUUACACAUGCAAGUCGAACGAUGAACCCUAGCUUGCUAGGGGGAUUAGUGGCGAACGGGUGAGUAAUAUAUCGGAACGUGCCUUGUAAUGGGGGAUAACUAGUCGAAAGAUUAGCUAAUACCGCAUACGCCCUGAGGGGGAAAGUAGGGGAUCUUCGGACCUUACGUUAUAAGAGCGGCCGAUAUCUGAUUAGCUAGUUGGUGGGGUAAUGGCCUACCAAGGCGACGAUCAGUAGCUGGUCUGAGAGGACGACCAGCCACACUGGAACUGAGACACGGUCCAGACUCCUACGGGAGGCAGCAGUGGGGAAUUUUGGACAAUGGGCGCAAGCCUGAUCCAGCCAUUCCGCGUGAGUGAAGAAGGCCUUCGGGUUGUAAAGCUCUUUCGCAAGGGAAGAAAACUUACCAUCGAAUAAAUGGUGAGGCUGACGGUACCUUGAUAAGAAGCACCGGCUAACUACGUGCCAGCAGCCGCGGUAAUACGUAGGGUGCGAGCGUUAAUCGGAAUUACUGGGCGUAAAGCGUGCGCAGGCGGUUUGGCAAGUCAGAUGUGAAAUCCCCGAGCUCAACUUGGGAACUGCGUUUGAAACUGCCAGACUAGAAUAUGUCAGAGGGGGGUAGAAUUCCACGUGUAGCAGUGAAAUGCGUAGAGAUGUGGAGGAA
rnacentral:rRNA from 1 species